UUCACACAUGAGGUUUUUAGAAAAUUUCAAGAGGAAGUGUUAGCAGCAAGGGAGCACUGUGAUGUGCAAACAACAACUGAAUUGGAGGAUAGAAGAAUUGUCUAUGUGGCUGGCAACUCCAACAAAGUUAGAGAGGUGAUUUGGAAAUAUAAUGAGCAGGUAUUUAAUUGCUCAUGCAUGCUAUUUGAGUCUGUUGGAAUAUUAUGUCGCCAUAUUAUACGUAUGUUACGAGGUGCAAGGAUAUCUGAACUGACCAUGCAAUUCAUCACAAAAAGAUGGACAAAAAAUUGUAAAAGAGAGGCAGCAUAUGAUAGUCUCGGGAAUUUACUACUAGAUAACUCAGUUGUGCCCAUUGAUGAUGUUAAAAGAAGGAAGAUGUCAAUUGCCCAAAAUAAAUUUGAAGAUAUUUUUCAAACAGCGAAGACUUCAGAAGACGCCAUGGACAUUUUGAUACAAAACUUGGAGUCUCUCAUUGUUGUUUCAGCCACCAACUCGCACUAGACAAGAGGAACAAGAAAGUUUUAUUGGGAUGUCCAUUCCAGAAAAUGUAGAAGUCCAUCCUCCUAGUGAGAUUCGUUCAAAGGGGAAGUGCAAGAGGAUACAAGGCCAUGCCGACAAGAAAAAGAAACAAGGUGCAGGUCCACGCAAAUGCACGACAUGCAAAGAUGUUGGACAUGAUAGGCGUAAUUGUCCAAAGAAAGAUGCAGCCGCACCUUAAGUUCUGAAAUUUAUGUAUUCUUUUUUUUAAGUCAUGUUAUAAUUGUGCAAACUGGUUCUGGACACAUAUGUUUUUUGGUUUUUAUAAACCUGCAAAUGAUCAGGUUUCAUGCAACCAGAUUCUUGAUAUAUGUUGUUUAAUUCAGUUAAAGUAAUAAGAUUGUGUA